rnacentral:rRNA from 1 species
AGAGUUUGAUCCUGGCUCAGGAUGAACGCUGGCGGCGUGCUUAACACAUGCAAGUCGAGCGAAGCAGUUAAGAAGAUUCUUCGGAUGAAUCUUAACUGACUGAGCGGCGGACGGGUGAGUAACGCGUGGGUGACCUGCCCCAUACCGGGGGAUAACAGCUGGAAACGGCUGCUAAUACCGCAUAAGCGCACAGAGCUGCAUGGCUCGGUGUGAAAAACUCCGGUGGUAUGGGAUGGGCCCGCGUCUGAUUAGGCAGUUGGCGGGGUAACGGCCCACCAAACCGACGAUCAGUAGCCGGCCUGAGAGGGCGACCGGCCACAUUGGGACUGAGACACGGCCCAAACUCCUACGGGAGGCAGCAGUGGGGAAUAUUGCACAAUGGGGGAAACCCUGAUGCAGCGACGCCGCGUGAAGGAAGAAGUAUUUCGGUAUGUAAACUUCUAUCAGCAGGGAAGAAAAUGACGGUACCUGACUAAGAAGCCCCGGCUAACUACGUGCCAGCAGCCGCGGUAAUACGUAGGGGGCAAGCGUUAUCCGGAUUUACUGGGUGUAAAGGGAGCGUAGACGGCAAGGCAAGUCUGAUGUGAAAACCCAGGGCUUAACCCUGGGACUGCAUUGGAAACUGUCUGGCUCGAGUGCCGGAGAGGUAAGCGGAAUUCCUAGUGUAGCGGUGAAAUGCGUAGAUAUUAGGAAGAACACCAGUGGCGAAGGCGGCUUACUGGACGGUAACUGACGUUGAGGCUCGAAAGCGUGGGGAGCAAACAGGAUUAGAUACCCUGGUAGUCCACGCC